ACAGUCCACUCUGGAGCAGGUCUUCCUGGAGCUCUCCAAGGAGCAGGAGCUGGGUGAUUUCGAUGAGGAAGGCAGUUCCUCAGUGAAGUGGAAGCUCCUCCCACAGGAAGAGCUUUAAAGUUCUAAAUACUCUGUAUCUUCCAGCUCACGUCCCUCUUAAAGACAGUAUUUAAAAGCAUCAAUGUGCCUUACUUACAUCAAAUGUAACACUAAAUACUUUUGAAACACACACACACACACACACACAC
rnacentral:lncRNA from 1 species